GCUCCCGUAGCUCAGCGGAUCUAGAGCAGUGGGUUUCUACCCCAUGUGCGAGAGUUCGAAUCUCUCCGGGAGUUCCA
rnacentral:tRNA from 1 species